UACAGAGGUCUCGAGCGUUAGGGCGGAAUCACUGGGCUUAAAGCGUGUGUAGGUGGAUGCCUAAGUACCUUGUGAAAUCCCACGGCUUAACCGUGGAACUGCUUGGUAUACUGGGUGUCUUGAGUCACUCAGGGGCGAGCGGAACAAAUGGUGGAGCGGUGAAAUGCGUAGAUAUCAUUUGGAACGCCAAUGGUGAAAACAGCUCGCUGGGGGUGUACUGACACUGAGACACGAAAGCCAGGGGAGCAAACGGG
rnacentral:rRNA from 1 species